GGAUCGAUGAUGACUCCCACAGAUGCAUUCCUUGGAAAUCUGAACAAAAUGAGUGAGCAAUCCCUACCAUCUCCUAAUUGGAACUGAGGUCC
ensembl:snoRNA SNORD116 Small nucleolar RNA SNORD116